CGGCUUUAAACUAGGUUCAAUGGGAGCAGGUGACCAAAGCCCACAGGCAAACAGACAUCAGUUCUGGUUUCGUAAUACUUUCAGUGGCCUUAAAUAGCAGCAUGGGAUUGCACUGGACUGAUGUACAGGGAAGAAAUUGGAGUUCCAGAGCUAUCAUGAGGUACAGGAUCUCCACAGAAAGGCCACAGUCUCCAACAGUUCCUGAGGAUCUGUGUGUUUUGAGAGUGCGGGGGGAGUG